UCGAGAAUCUUCGGCAAUGCGCGAAAGCGUGACCGAGCAAUGCCGCGUGCGGGAUGAAGGCCUUCGGGUUGUAAACCGCGAAAGUAAGGAGGAAGGCUCUGUGAAGAGCAGAGUUUGACCGAUUUACAGUAAGGACGGGCUAAGUUCGUGCCAGCAGCCGCGGUAAGACGAACCGUCCAAACGUUAUUCGGAAUUAUUGGGCUUAAAGGGUGCGUAGGCGGCGCGGCAAGUCAGGUGUGAAAUCCCACGGCUCAACCGUGGAACUGCGCUUGAAACUGCCGUGCUCGAGGGAGACAGAGGUAAGCGGAACUGAUGGUGGAGCGGUGAAAUGCGUUGAUAUCAUCAGGAACACCAGUGGCGAAAGCGGCUUACUGGGUCUCUUCUGACGCUGAGGCACGAAAGCUAGGGUAGCGAACGGGAUUAGAUACCCCCGUAGUCC
rnacentral:rRNA from 1 species